UGAGUUUGAUCCUGGCUCAGGAUGAACGCUGGCGGCGUGCCUAAUACAUGCAAGUCGAGCGAACGGACGAGAAGCUUGCUUCUCUGAUGUUAGCGGCGGACGGGUGAGUAACACGUGGAUAACCUACCUAUAAGACUGGGAUAACUUCGGGAAACCGGAGCUAAUACCGGAUAAUAUUUUGAACCGCAUGGUUCAAAAGUGAAAGACGGUCUUGCUGUCACUUAUAGAUGGAUCCGCGCUGCAUUAGCUAGUUGGUAAGGUAACGGCUUACCAAGGCAACGAUGCAUAGCCGACCUGAGAGGGUGAUCGGCCACACUGGAACUGAGACACGGUCCAGACUCCUACGGGAGGCAGCAGUAGGGAAUCUUCCGCAAUGGGCGAAAGCCUGACGGAGCAACGCCGCGUGAGUGAUGAAGGUCUUCGGAUCGUAAAACUCUGUUAUUAGGGAAGAACAUAUGUGUAAGUAACUGUGCACAUCUUGACGGUACCUAAUCAGAAAGCCACGGCUAACUACGUGCCAGCAGCCGCGGUAAUACGUAGGUGGCAAGCGUUAUCCGGAAUUAUUGGGCGUAAAGCGCGCGUAGGCGGUUUUUUAAGUCUGAUGUGAAAGCCCACGGCUCAACCGUGGAGGGUCAUUGGAAACUGGAAAACUUGAGUGCAGAAGAGGAAAGUGGAAUUCCAUGUGUAGCGGUGAAAUGCGCAGAGAUAUGGAGGAACACCAGUGGCGAAGGCGACUUUCUGGUCUGUAACUGACGCUGAUGUGCGAAAGCGUGGGGAUCAAACAGGAUUAGAUACCCUGGUAGUCCACGCCGUAAACGAUGAGUGCUAAGUGUUAGGGGGUUUCCGCCCCUUAGUGCUGCAGCUAACGCAUUAAGCACUCCGCCUGGGGAGUACGACCGCAAGGUUGAAACUCAAAGGAAUUGACGGGGACCCGCACAAGCGGUGGAGCAUGUGGUUUAAUUCGAAGCAACGCGAAGAACCUUACCAAAUCUUGACAUCCUUUGACAACUCUAGAGAUAGAGCUUUCCCCUUCGGGGGACAAAGUGACAGGUGGUGCAUGGUUGUCGUCAGCUCGUGUCGUGAGAUGUUGGGUUAAGUCCCGCAACGAGCGCAACCCUUAAGCUUAGUUGCCAUCAUUAAGUUGGGCACUCUAAGUUGACUGCCGGUGACAAACCGGAGGAAGGUGGGGAUGACGUCAAAUCAUCAUGCCCCUUAUGAUUUGGGCUACACACGUGCUACAAUGGACAAUACAAAGGGCAGCGAAACCGCGAGGUCAAGCAAAUCCCAUAAAGUUGUUCUCAGUUCGGAUUGUAGUCUGCAACUCGACUACAUGAAGCUGGAAUCGCUAGUAAUCGUAGAUCAGCAUGCUACGGUGAAUACGUUCCCGGGUCUUGUACACACCGCCCGUCACACCACGAGAGUUUGUAACACCCGAAGCCGGUGGAGUAACCUUUUAGGAGCUAGCCGUCGAAGGUGGGACAAAUGAUUGGGGUGAAGUCGUAACAAGGUAGCCGUA
rnacentral:rRNA from 1 species